rnacentral:rRNA from 1 species
AGUCGAACGGCAGCACGAGAGAGCUUGCUCUCUUGGUGGCGAGUGGCGGACGGGUGAGUAAUAUAUCGGAACGUGCCCAGUAGCGGGGGAUAACUACUCGAAAGAGUGGCUAAUACCGCAUACGCCCUACGGGGGAAAGGGGGGGAUCGCAAGACCUCUCACUAUUGGAGCGGCCGAUAUCGGAUUAGCUAGUUGGUGGGGUAAAGGCUCACCAAGGCAACGAUCCGUAGCUGGUUUGAGAGGACGACCAGCCACACUGGGACUGAGACACGGCCCAGACUCCUACGGGAGGCAGCAGUGGGGAAUUUUGGACAAUGGGGGAAACCCUGAUCCAGCCAUCCCGCGUGUAUGAUGAAGGCCUUCGGGUUGUAAAGUACUUUUGGCAGAGAAGAAAAGGUAUCCCCUAAUACGGGAUACUGCUGACGGUAUCUGCAGAAUAAGCACCGGCUAACUACGUGCCAGCAGCCGCGGUAAUACGUAGGGUGCAAGCGUUAAUCGGAAUUACUGGGCGUAAAGCGUGUGUA